rnacentral:rRNA from 1 species
UACGGGGGGGGUAAGCGUUGUUCGGAAUUACUGGGCGUAAAGGGCUCGUAGGCGGCCAACUAAGUCGGACGUGAAAUCCCUCAGCUUAACUGGGGAACUGCGUCCGAUACUGGAUGGCUUGGAUUUGGGAGAGGGAUGCGGAAUUCCAGGUGUAGCGGUGAAAUGCGUAGAUAUCUGGAGGAACACCGGUGGCAAAGGCGGCAUCCUGGACCAAUAUUGACGCUGAGGAGCGAAAGCCAGGGGAGCAAACGGG